rnacentral:rRNA from 1 species
AGAGAGAAGCUUGCUUCUCUUGAGAGCGGCGGACGGGUGAGUAAUGCCUAGGAAUCUGCCUAGUGGUGGGGGAUAACGUUCGGAAACGGACGCUAAUACCGCAUACGUCCUACGGGAGAAAGCGGGGGAUCUUCGGACCUCGCGCCAUUAGAUGAGCCUAGGUCGGAUUAGCUAGUUGGUGAGGUAAUGGCUCACCAAGGCGACGAUCCGUAACUGGUCUGAGAGGAUGAUCAGUCACACUGGAACUGAGACACGGUCCAGACUCCUACGGGAGGCAGCAGUGGGGAAUAUUGGACAAUGGGCGAAAGCCUGAUCCAGCCAUGCCGCGUGUGUGAAGAAGGUCUUCGGAUUGUAAAGCACUUUAAGUUGGGAGGAAGGGUAGUAACUUAAUACGUUGCUACUUUGACGUUACCGACAGAAUAAGCACCGGCUAACUUCGUGCCAGCAGCCGCGGUAAUACGAAGGGUGCAAGCGUUAAUCGGAAUUACUGGGCGUAAAGCGCGCGUAGGUGGUUCAGUAAGUUGGAAGUGAAAUCCCCGGGCUCAACCUGGGAACUGCUUUCAAAACUGCUGAGCUAGAGUACGGUAGAGGGUGGUGGAAUUUCCUGUGUAGCGGUGAAAUGCGUAGAUAUAGGAAGGAACACCAGUGGCGAAGGCGACCACCUGGACUGAUACUGACACUGAGGUGCGAAAGCGUGGGGAGCAAACAGGAUUAGAUACCCUGGUAGUCCACGCCGUAAACGAUGUCAACUAGCCGUUGGAAUCCUUGAGAUUUUAGUGGCGCAGCUAACGCAUUAAGUUGACCGCCU